rnacentral:rRNA from 1 species
UACGUAGGGUGCAAGCGUUAAUCGGAAUUACUGGGCGUAAAGCGUGCGCAGGCGGUUUUGUAAGUCUGACGUGAAAUCCCCGGGCUCAACCUGGGAAUUGCGUUGGAGACUGCAAGGCUAGAAUCUGGCAGAGGGGGGUAGAAUUCCACGUGUAGCAGUGAAAUGCGUAGAGAUGUGGAGGAACACCGAUGGCGAAGGCAGCCCCUGGGUCAAGAUUGACGCUCAUGCACGAAAGCGUGGGGAGCAAACAGG